rnacentral:rRNA from 1 species
AGUGAACGCUGGCGGCAGGCCUAACACAUGCAAGUCGAACGGCAGCACGGCAGUAGCAAUACUGUGGGUGGCGAGUGGCGGACGGGUGAGGAAUACAUCGGGAUCUACCCUGUUGUGGGGGAUAACGUAGGGAAACUUACGCUAAUACCGCAUAAGAACUGAGGUUGAAAGCGGCGGACCGCAAGGCGUCGCGCGAUUGGAUGAACCGAUGUCCGAUUAGCUAGUUGGCGGGGUAAAGGCCCACCAAGGCGACGAUCGGUAGCUGGUCUGAGAGGACGACCAGCCACACUGGAACUGAGACACGGUCCAGACUCCUACGGGAGGCAGCAGUCGAGAAUAGUCUACAAUGGCCGGAAGGCUGAUAGUGCGACGCCGCGUGAACGAGGGAGCCCUUCGGGUCGUAAGUUACUUUUCUUAUACGAGCAGUGCUAUAUAUAUGGAUAGUAUAUAUAGAGGGAUAGUAGUAUAGGAAUAAGACAACGGCUAACUCCGUGCC